rnacentral:rRNA from 1 species
GAUGAACGCUGGCGGCGUGCCUAACACAUGCAAGUCGAACGGAAAGACCCUGCUCUUGUUGGGUGCACGAGUGGCGCACGGGUGUGUAACACGCGAGUAACCUCUCCUUGACUUUCUGAUAACAUCAGGAAACAGGGGCUAUUAUAGGAUAGAAGCUAUUGCUGCACGGUGGUGGUUGGAAAGAUUCGGCGGUUGGGGAUCGACUCGAGGGUUAUCAGCUUGAUGGUGUGGUAGUGGAUUUCCAAGCCUUUGAAGGGUAGCCGGCCUGGGAGGGGGAACGGCCACAAUAGGACUGAGAUACGGCGCAGACUCCAACGGGCGGCAGCAGGGGGGAAUAUUGCGCAACGGGGGGAAGCGUGAUGCAGCGACGCCGCGUUCGGGAUGACGGCCUUCGGGUGGUAAACCGCUGUCGCCUGUGACGAGGCGUGAUUGACGGUAAUGGGUAAAGAAGCACCGGCUAACUACGUG